GAUUGUUUGUCAGUGAUGGCUAAGGCAGGAGGUUCACAAUUUUGAAAUGAAGUAUUAGGAAUUUAAUGUAUGAGGAGCCUCCGGCUAUAGAUAUUUUAGUUUGAUUUAGUUUGGCAAAGAUAUUGUUCUAGUUCAGUAAAUCAGUCCCUUUUAGCGUUUGAAAUAUCUGAAAUUGCCCACCUUUUUUUUUUUUGAAAUUCCAACAUAUAAAAGCUGAGUAAUACACACGUCACAUACCAGCAAAGAUUUAGGGAAGCAUCUAAUUUUAACCAGAGAUUUGUGUUUCCAGCCGGAUUUUUUUUUUCAAAUAAUCUUUUUUCACGCUGUAUAAAAAAGAUGCUGAUGAACACAUCACUACUAAUGCAUACUACACCAGUAAAUACGUCUCCUAACUCACAUUGUCUAAUAUGCUUUGCCUUAUACACGC
rnacentral:sRNA from 1 species